rnacentral:lncRNA from 1 species
AUGGCCAGACUUCCCGUCUUCUUGGCGGGACUUCUUCUCUUAUGUUUCUGCAGCAUAGCGAUAGCAGAAGCAGAAUACAUUAAAUAUAAGGACCCCAAACAACCAUUAAAUACUAGAAUCAAGGAUCUGAUGAGCCGGAUCACUUUGGAGGAAAAGAUUGGCCAAAUGGUGCAGAUAGAUAGCCGUGUUGCAUCAGCUGAGGUGAUGAAGAAGUACUUAAUUGGUAAAACAUGACUUCCAUUUUUCUUUUCUUUUCUCUAUCACUGGAAUCAAAAGUCUAAUUUUAUGUAGGUAAGUUUUGUUUAAAGGAAGAAGAAAUUUGUUUUGGGCAGGGAGUAUAUUAAGUGGGGUUGUGAAUGUUAGAGUACAAAAGGGUUCUGCAGAAACUUGGGUUAAACUGGUGAAUGAUUUUCAAAAGGCUUCUUUAUCAACUCGGCUUGGAAUUCCAUUGAUUUAUGGUAUUGAUGCUGUUCAUGGCCACAACAGUGUCUACAAGGCAACAAUCUUUCCCCACAAUGUUGGCCUUGGAGCUACCAGGCAAGUAGAUAUGCCUUCAACCAUACUAACAUUUCCCCUACUUUUCUUUUCUAAUCCUAGUCUCAAAGUCUUGAAUUGAUUAAGUUUAGAAAAUAAAAAAGUGUUGUCCUAGCAUUUAGUUUGGAGAGAGGCAAAAAUCAGGGCCAAGUAUCUGAUGCCAUUCAGUUGAGAAAUAUGUUUCUUUAGUCUUCUUAGGAGUUGAAGCUAUACAGAAUUCAAGAAAAAGUAAAUUUCUACUAAUGUCAAUUUCCUCAAACUGAAAUCAAGCAGAGACCCUCAACUUGUUAAGAUGAUCGGAGCUGCAACGGCACUCGAAGUUAGAGCCACAGGCAUUCCAUAUGUCUUUGCACCAUGUAUAGCAGCAAAUAAAUUUAAUUAGUAUCCACAUAGGUCACUUUAUUUUAAGCUGAGCUCUAAUUCCUCUCUUCUGUCUGUGUGUGCAGGUUUGCAGAGAUCCAAGAUGGGGUCGAUGUUAUGAAAGCAACAGUGAAGAUCUCAAGCUUGUUCAAGCAAUGACUGAGAUCAUUCCUGGCUUGCAAGGGGAGAUACCGGCUAACUCUACAAAGGGCGUUCCCUUCGUAGCAGGAAAGUAA